rnacentral:lncRNA from 10 species
GCCCAGCCGCCUGCCACGAAGAGCACCGCGCAGUCGGCCUGCACCGCGGGGAUACACAAACACACCGGGUUGCGGGAGGGGGCAUCGGACUGACUUUGGGAGGUUCCGAAUCCCAUUGUAAAGCUGGGGAAUGCCCUCCAGAACUCAGAUGGCCAAAUGGGAUUCAUGGACCACCCUAGAUGCGGUGCAUGGGGGUCCUGCUUCCCAGUUCCUCUCAUUUAAUCUCAUCUAAAUCAGCUUUUAGUCCCUUCUUUCUGGACCAACUGAUCUACUAGUCUGAGUGUAAGAAAACCUGGUCCCUCUAGGCCCCCCCAGGACAACAGGAUCUGAGCUUCAUGAGAGUGAUGGGACUUUCAGUCCUGUCCUCCCUAAUUCUUUCAGGAUUGAUGGAUGAUGGCCAUAGGAAUGUUUCUGAAGGCAUGGACUGCUUUACCUGGGAAGUGCCCCUGAUCAUGGUCAUGAUGAAGUCUCUGUGGCCUGGAGCAUCGAUGAUAAUGCUGUAAUCCUUUUCCUUCCCGUCUCCACAUGUCCAGAAGUUUGGUCCCCAUAAAAUUACAGUGGGCUGGGCACAGUUGCUCACGCCUGUAAUCUCAGCACUUUGGGAGCCUGAAGCAGGAGGAUCACUUGAACUUAGGAAAAGAAGGCCAGCCUGGGCAAUAUGAUUUAACCCAUCUCUACAAAAAAUUAAAAAUAGAGAAAAGAAAAA